UACGUAGGCAGCGAGCGUUUGUUCGGAGUUACUGGGCGUAAAGGGUGUGUAGGCGGCCUAUUAAGUUUGGUGUGAAAUCUCCCGGCUCAACCGGGAGGGUGCGCCGAAAACUGGGAGGCUAGAGUGCGGGAUGGGAGAGUGGAAUUCCUGGUGUAGCGGUGAAAUGCGUAGAUAUCAGGAGGAACACCAGUGGCGAAGGCGGCUCACUGGCCCGGUACUGACGCUGAGGUGCGAAAGCGUGGGGAGCAAACAGG
rnacentral:rRNA from 1 species